AGUAGCUUCACCUAUAGAUUGCACAAACAAUACAAGCAACUUAAGGAUGCAAGAGGGGAGGAGUACGCGAGAAGCCACCCACCUACAAGUGUUACUCUUAAUCAAUGGACAUCUCUAAUUGACAAGAAGUGGAAUAGUAAAGAAUUCAUGGAACAAUCACUAACUAAUGUGAAUAAUAGGAUGCAAAUGAAAACAAAACAUAGAUGUGGAUCAAAAUCAAUCCCGGUUAGGGUGCACAGCUCGAUAAUUGCAAAUGGAGAAGUUUCUGAUUUGGCAAAGUUUUACAAGUCCAUCCACUAUAAUUCG